rnacentral:tRNA from 1 species
GCCGAAGUGGCGGAACAGGCAGACGCGCACGACUCAAAAUCGUGUGGGGAAACCCGUGUGGGUUCGACUCCCACCUUCGGCA